ACGGGUUGUGAGUGGUGAANNNNNUCGUNNNNNNNNACUCCACGUCAGUGNNNCGUUAAGAGUUUCUUGCGCUUCGGUUGGGUUCCUGUAUUUGCUACCUGUCGUAAAGGAAUGCUGCCUCUCAUUUUGACCCUCUCCUUCCUCGACUCGUGCGGUCAGGGGGAGGACAUCGUAGUAGCUCCUGUGCCCCCCGCAUCGUGCGUGCCUCACGGCGCGCACCUUACGACGGUUCCCAGGUCGUUGCUUGAUGCCUCGGAUACGGAAAAUUCGGUGGGCUUUUGGGUGCUUGCACCCUCGAUGUCCGAUUCCAAGCGAUUUGUCGCUAUACAUGUACGACUGUCAUGCUCCGUUGCGGGAUUUCUCGCGAGGCGCCUGGCGUCGGCAGAGGAAUGCUACCUGGUU
rnacentral:misc_RNA from 1 species